rnacentral:rRNA from 1 species
AUGGUUCAUAAUGGUGUCCAACCACAUGUUAGGAUAUAUAAUACCCUGAUCCAUGGAUUUUUAACUUCGGGUCAGCUGAAAGAAGCCUUUAGGUUGUUGAAAGUAAUGAGAAGCCGAGGUAGUAUGCCAAACGUUGUUACUUGCAGCUCAGUCAUGGACUACCUUUGCAAGCAUGGAAGAAUCAAAGAAGCUAAGGAAAUAUUUUAUUCCAUGGCCGUGAAUGGCCAAAAACGAGAUACAAUCUCAUACUCUAUUAUGCUCCAUGGGUACGCUAUAGAAGGAUCCCUUGACACAAAU